AAGAAAUAAUGUAACUUGGGCAGAUACAUGUUGCAGAGUAAGCCAUAGUUGCCAUUAGAAAAGGUGUUAUACAUAUCUUAAAUUCAUCCCUAAUUCCUCAUGCCCUCUAUUUAGUAUUUUUGAAAGGUGUCUAUCAUAGCCUUAGUAGGUUUUCCAUUGUUAGACACUUCCACAUACAUAAGCUCACAUGCAAUUGCUUACGGGUGGGGCUUCUGCUAAUGGGAAAUUGCUUGAUAGGUGGCCUGUAAGAACAUCAGCAUCACUGGUACCUGUAGAGGAAGAAAUGAACCAAACAUUAUUAUUUUUUAUUUUGGAACUUAGAAAAGAAUUAGACAUGAAACCGCAGAAGACUUGAUGCAGAAUAAAUAUGUAUUCAUUUACCUGUUAGAAAUAUAUAUUUCUUUGCAUGUUAGAAAUAUAUAUUUAUUUUCCUGAAAGCAAAAUAAAUAUAUCAGGACAAUAUCCAUAUGAAAGUACAAUGUGAUCCAACUUAAGACAAGGGCAGAGCAAGGAACCUUAUACUUGUUUUCGAAAGUAUCCUACCCUGGUCUUGUGUUAAAAAAAAAAGAUUUUCCACUGAACAAUCAUAAAGGAUGUCACUGUUUUGCUACAUGAUUAUUACUCCCAUGUAAUCUUGAUCGUAAGGUUAUAAACCCAUACCUUGAUUGUAGCCAGCAACAUGUUUCUCACGAGCAACAUGUUUCUCACAAGAAGUAUCUCGCGAUCAGUUUCU
rnacentral:lncRNA from 1 species